rnacentral:rRNA from 1 species
UACGUAGGUGACAAGCGUUGUCCGGAUUUACUGGGCGUAAAGAGCGCGCAGGCGGUCGUUCAAGUCGAGUGUGAAAGCCCCCGGCUCAACUGGGGAGGGUCAUUCGAUACUGAUCGACUCGAAGGCAGGAGAGGGUAGUGGAAUUCCCGGUGUAGUGGUGAAAUGCGUAGAUAUCGGGAGGAACACCAGUGGCGAAGGCGACUACGUGGCCCGGUACUGACGCUGAGGUGCGAAAGCGUGGGGAGCAAACAGG